AAUAAAAUAAAAUAAAUAAAUGGGGGUCUAGCUUCUACGGCACCAGGUACAUUCACUUAUGUAACAUUCAUCACAUUUGAAAUGUCUUCAUUUAUCUAACAGUUAAUUAGUAGCUACAGUCUGCUAGGAAGGUGCUGUCAACAGGGGUGAAACCAGAUGGGCACUGUUGCCUUCUUGAUGCAGAGAGGCAAGUAUCAAUGAACAAUACCAUCCUGACAUCAUAAUGAGAUGUUGGAAGUUCCCUACAGCAGUGCUGAUCAAGGUGUGAUCAAAGGCAUGGGCAUAACCUGGAAGCUUGCUGGAAAUACACAAUCUCAGGCUUUAUCCUGGAUGCACUGCAUUAGAAUCUGCAUUUUAACAGUAUCUCCAAGUGGCAUGUAGACACUUAAAGUUUGAGAAGCACUAGUAUAAAGACCGUACAACAACCUAAUGUGCUGGAGAGAAAUUGAAGGAGCCCCUUCUAAAUAGGGAAGUCUGAUGAGAGGAAAUGAACAGACAUGAAACAUUUCACAAAGCUGGCCACGAGCUGCCUGUUACAGGGGCAAGAAGCAAUCAUGGAAAAAACUUCAGCAAUGGUAACAUUUUUCUAUACAGAGCAACAUAUGGAUUUGUACUUUGCCUUUGGUUUUGAAAUCGCUUCAUAUUAACCCUGUACUUUUCGGCCUGCGAAGUUGUAUGUGAUAUGAUUUAUUAACCCUGCACUAUACUCUUUUAAGAAGAAUGUUGGGCACCAAGGAGAGAGACCUGGCCUGGAAUGAAGCCAACAUGGAGGAAAAGUGAUCUAAGAAAUAAUGUGUGACUGUGUCCUGGUGAUGCAUAUGACCUCCUGGAUCCAUCUCUGCCUAAAAACAUAUUGAUUCUUGGCAUGUUUGAAGCAAUAAUUCCUUUUUGCUUAAUAUAAGUUGACCGGAAGAGUUGUAACUAAGUUAUGGGUGACCAGAAGAGUUAAAGCAAUUUAAGUAAGGCCAAUGUGACUAUACCCAAUGAUUUGCAACAUGUGAGCUCUGAAGUUUUAAGUAAU